rnacentral:rRNA from 1 species
GAAACUUAAAGGAAUUGGCGGGGGAGCACUGCAACGGGUGGAGCGUGCGGUUUAAUUGGACUCAACGCCGGAAAACUCACCGGAGGCGACGGUUACAUGAAGGCCAGGCUGAUGACCUUGCCUGAUUUUCCGAGAAGUGGUGCAUGGCCGCCGUCAGUUCGUACCGUAAGGCGUUCUGUUAAGCCAGAAAAACGAACGAGACCCUCAUCUUUAAUUGCUACUAUCAAGUCUGCUUGAUAGGCACAUUAAAGAAACCGCUGGCGAUAAGUCAGAGGAGGGCGAGGGCAACGGUAGGUCAGUAUGCCCUGAAUCCUCCGGGCUACACGCGCGCUACAAAGGCUAGGACAAUGGGUUCCGACACCGAAAGGUGAGGGUAAUCCCGAAACCUAGUCGUAGUUCGGAUCGAGGGUUGAAACUCACCCUCGUGAAGCUGGAAUCCGUAGUAAUCGCGGAUCAACAUCCCGCGGUGGAUAUGCCCCUGCUCCUUGCACACACCGCCCGUCAAACCAUGCGAGUUGGGGUCUAAGUGAGGAUGUAGUUUUUUGCUGCGUUCAAACUUAGGCUUAGCAAGCGGGGUUAAGUCGUAACAA